rnacentral:rRNA from 1 species
AUCGAACGCUGGCGGCAGGCCUAACACAUGCAAGUCGAGCGAGCGGCGGACGGGUGAGUAAUGUAUGGGGACUGCCUGAUCGAGCGGGCUAACUACUGGAAACGGUGGCUACUACCGCAUACUAUCCGAUAACCCAUAUGGGAUUAGCUAGUAGGUGUGGUAAAGGCUCACCUAGGCGACGAUCGCUAGCUGGUCUGAGAGGAUACUCAGCCACACUGGGACUGAGACACGGCCCAGACUCCUACGGAGGCAGCAGGGGGGAAUAUUGCACAAUGGGCGCAAGCCUGAUGCAGCCAUGCCGCGUGUAUGAAGAAGGCCUUAGGGUUGUAAAGUGCUAUCAGCGGGGAGGCGUUACCCGAAGAAGAAGCACCGGCUAACUCCGUGCCAGCCGCCGCGGUAAUUC